GUAUACACAUGUCAAGAAAUCUGGGGUGCUAUGGUGUGUCACCAUUAGUUGCAUUAGGAAUCCCGAGUCCUUAAAUUCAAUAUGAAGUGGUUUUUGUUUGUUUGCUUUUAACAUUGGAGACUGCUUUGUGGAAAAGACUAUUUAAUUUGUUAAAUGUGCAAAGCCAAAAACUGUUAUUUUUUUCCCUUAGGCCGUUGAGUUCAGCUUAUGGUGAUGGAAAGAGAGAUGUCAAUAAUUCCACAUUUUCUGGCUUGCAUUGUUUGAUGAAAGGUGACCCCAUUCCCUGAGUUAAAGAAUGCUGAAAGAAGACCAGGCUUGAGGAGGAAGGAUCAUGCAUUUGCUUUUGGACCUGUAGAGUUUGAGGACAUGUUCAGCACCAGGAGGAAUUUGCAUCCAAGUCCGUCUCCCUGCUAAGUGGUAUUUUGAGAAUUCCGAAGCUUAGUCUCAGAGAAGAGCUGACCUGAACUUGCCGAGGCUCCCACUGCAUUGUAGCUUUUCUCUGGAGAACAAAAACUGCCAUUGUCCAGCAGCUCAUUAGCAUGACUGUACAGCCUCCGGAGUUAGCAAGGUGAUGCAAAAAUAAUAUGACAAGAUCCAUGUCUUCAAUGAGCUACAAUCCUACUGGGACAUGAGACUGUGCUUAUAAUAUGAUGAAAGAAUAAGAAAAUUUUAAAGGUGAGAAAAGAAGAUUUUGUCUUCCUUUCAUUCCCUUAGUAUUGAUAGGUGGGACUAAAUAGCCACUUUUCAUGACAAUAACAGCUAUAACAGGCAGAGCACAAGAACAAGCAGAGCUAUAACAAGCAGAGCACAAGAAGGAAGAGUGCAGAUCCAGGACUGGGACACUUAACCAAUAAUAAUACAAAUAGUGAGUACUGUUAGUUGAUUUUCCAGGCUCCUCUUCUCACUUGUAAUGGAAUUACAAAUUAUUUUGUUGGUCAUUGACACUAACCCCAGAUUCAGAAGGAGAUUUGAUUAGAGUAGUGUGAGUAUAAUCUCAUUGCUACUUCCAUAGCAAUUGGUUUGGGGUGAAUACUGUUGGGUGACAGCAGAGGGAGAUUAUUUCAUUUCCUGUGAUCUGUGUUCAAGGAAUUAUGGUGUUUUAAUUGCUGCUAGUAGCACUUUACUUUAGGAUGAAACCUGGUACAUACAUGUAAAGCACUUUAAACAGUUCCUGGUGCAAAGUAAAUGCUUAACAUGUGUUCUUUAUUGCUAUGGUUUGAAUGUAUGUGCCCCUCCAAAAUUCAUUUGUUGGAACUUAAACCCCAAGGUGAUGGUAUUAAGAGAUGGAGCCUUUGGAAGGUGACUGAGCCAUAAGCGCUCUGCCCUCAUUGAUGGGAUUAGUGCCCUCAUAAAAGAGCUUGAGGAGCUAGUUCUCCCUUUUUGUCCUUUUGCCCUUCCUCUCUUUCUACCAGAUGAAAACACAGCAGCAACAGGUGCCAUUUUGGAAGCAAGAAGCAGAGAACAAGCUCUCACUGGGCAUUAAAUCUGCCGGCAUCUUGAUCUUGAACUUCUCAACCUCCAGAACUCUGAGAAAUAAAUUUCUAUUAUUUACAAAUUACCCAGUCUAAGGUGUUUUGUUAUAGCAGCUCAAACAAAUUAAGAUAUCUGUUUAUUGCUUUUGGUAUGUGUUUGUGUUUUAAUUUUCUUGGAAGGUAGAGCAGAGAGACAAAAAUCACCAAAUUUUGGUGACAUGGUUGAAGCUCUGGGUCAAACCAAUCUUUGAGUCCAGCCUCUGAACCUCGCAUUAAAGUCCUUUAUAGUUUAGAUUGGUUAGGAUUAGGUCUCUUGAUGUUUGUUUUCACCUUGAGGGUUCCUAACUGCUACGGGGAGUCAGUGUGAUUUAACUCUAAGUGAAGAAGAACAGUUUAGAGGGAUGAUCCUGCACAUCUGCAUGGUGAUUGAAUUUAUGUCUCCUAUAAUUGUAUAUACAAAAUGAAAGUUUGGACUCUACAGGACAGGAGACUUUCCCCAACUUCUACCCUCCUUUAUCUUUUGCUGAUUAGUAUUGCAACAGGCACCUAACCAAACUCUCUGGCUCUGGGCCUGUGCUGUGUCUUCUAAUCUUCACACAGCUGCCAGCAUUAUCUUUAAAAGACAGAUCUUAUUA
rnacentral:lncRNA from 1 species